CCGUUCGUGGAAUGAUGUAUUACUAUCGGGCUCUUAAGAUUCUGGCAUAUCUUGAUUCGGCAUCGGAGGUCGAUAUCAAGCAAGG